GGGCGAGUUGACAGACCUUUACUCAGUGGGGUUUAAACCCUUUUCGUUAAAUAAAUGAGUUGUAAGACUGAUGGUUCAAUUUGAUUUUACACUUUUUUAAAGUUGGGCGAGUCGGUUACAAGAGUGGGGCGAUUUUUUCAUAAAGUGGCGAUAUAGUGUGGGACGAUUGGCCAGUGGGGCGAGUUGACAUUAUUUGAUAUCUACUCAUCGUGUUUGGGGGUCAUAAAGGGUAUACAUCAUAUAGUAAUAUAUAAAGUAUAUUAUAAUGGUUGUGUUGCGUUCUAAACUAGAUUUUAUGAAUUGUAAAU
rnacentral:lncRNA from 1 species